AAUCUUCCGCAAUGUACGAAAGCCUGACGGAGCAACGCCGCGUGAUUGAUGAAGGUCUUCUGAUCGUAAAACUCUGUUGUUAGGGAAGAACAAGUAUCGUUCGAAUAGGGCGGUACCUUGACGGUACCUAACCAUAAAGCUACGGCUAACUACUUGCCAGCAGCCGCGGUAAUACGUAGGUGGCAAGCGUUAUCCAGAAUUAUUGGGCGUAAAGCGCGCGAAGGCAGUUUCUUAAGUCUGAUGUGAAAGCCCACGGCUCAACCGUGGAGGGUCAUUGGAAACUGGGAAGCUUGAGUGCAGAAGAGGAGAGUGGAAUUCCAUGUGUAGCGGUGAAAUGCGUAGAGAUAUGGAGGAACACCAGUGGCGAAGGCGACUCUCUGGUCUGCAACUGACGCUAAGGCGCGAAAGCGUGGGGAGAGAACA
rnacentral:rRNA from 1 species